rnacentral:rRNA from 1 species
GACGAACUUUGGCGGCGUGCUUAACACAUGCAAGUCGAACGGAAAGGCCCUGCUUUUGUGGGGUGCUCGAGUGGCGAACGGGUGAGUAACACGUGAGUAACCUGCCCUUGACUUUGGGAUAACUUCAGGAAACUGGGGCUAAUACCGGAUAGGAGCUCCUGCUGCAUGGUGGGGGUUGGAAAGUUUCGGCGGUUGGGGAUGGACUCGCGGCUUAUCAGCUUGUUGGUGGGGUAGUGGCUUACCAAGGCUUUGACGGGUAGCCGGCCUGAGAGGGUGACCGGCCACAUUGGGACUGAGAUACGGCCCAGACUCCUACGGGAGGCAGCAGUGGGGAAUAUUGCACAAUGGGCGGAAGCCUGAUGCAGCAACGCCGCGUGCGGGAUGACGGCCUUCGGGUUGUAAACCGCUUUCGCCUGUGACGAAGCGUGAGUGACGGUAAUGGGUAAAGAAGCACCGGCUAACUACGUGCCAGCAGCCGCGGUGAUACGUAGGGUGCGAGCGUUGUCCGGAUUUAUUGGGCAUAAAGGGCUCGUAGGUGGUUGAUCGCGUCGGAAGUGUAAUCUUGGGGCUUAACCCUGACCGUGCUUUCGAAUACGGGUUGACUUGAGGAAGGUAGGGGAGAAUGGAAUUCCUGGUGGAGCGGUGGAAUGCGCAGAUAUCAGGAGGAACACCAGUGGCGAAGGCGGUUCUCUGGGCCUUUCCUGACGCUGAGGAGCGAAAGCGUGGGGAGCGAACAGGCUUAGAUACCCUGGUAGUCCACGCUGUAAACGGUGGGUACUAGGUGUGGGGUCCAUUCCACGGGUUCCGUGCCGUAGCUAACGCUUUAAGUACCCCGCCUGGGGAGUACGGCCGCAAGGCUAAAACUCAAAGGAAUUGACGGGGCCCCGCACAAGCGGCGGAGCAUGCGGAUUAAUUCGAUGCAACGCGUAGAACCUUACCUGGGUUUGACAUGGAUCGGGAGUGCUCAGAGAUGGGUGUGCCUCUUUUGGGGUCGGUUCACAGGUGGUGCAUGCCUGUCGUCAGCUCGUGUCGUGAGAUGUUGGGUUAAGUCCCGCAACGAGCGCAACCCUUGUUCACUGUUGCCAGCACGUUAUGGUGGGGACUCAGUGGAGACCGCCGGGGUCAACUCGGAGGGAGGUGGGGAUGACGUCAAGUCCUCAUGCCCCUUAUGUCCAGGGCUUCACGCAUGCUACAAUGGCUGGUACAGAGAGUGGCGAGCCUGUGAGGGUGAGCGAAUCUCGGAAAGCCGGUCUCAGUUCGGAUUGGGGUCUGCAACUCGACCUCAUGAAGUCGGAGUCGCUAGUAAUCGCAGAUCAGCAACGCUGCGGUGGAUACGUUCCCGGGGCU